GUAACUCUUUAAGCUUGGUCAAAUUGCCGAUUUCUUUUGGUAUGGUACCCGAAAACCAAUUAUGACUGAGAACGAGUGUUUGCAGCGAAGAAAGGUUUCCAAGAUAGGAAGGGAUGGUGCCUGUAAGGCCAAGAUCAGGAAUGGUCAAGGAUGUGACUCUAUUGCCAUAGACAUCACAAGUGAUGCCCAUCCAGCUACAAACGGAAGUAUUUGAGGUCCAAUUUUGAGCCAAAAUAUUGUUGGGAUUAUCAUUUAUUAUAUGAGCUUUUACGGAAAGAAGAGCAUCUUGGUCUCUGGAUAUGUUUGCUGCAGCUGCCACAAUAGCUGAGAAAAGAAUCAAACAAGGGACAAAGAGAUAUGGAUCGUUUCUCCCCAUGUUGAUUUUCCAAAGAACAUGCAAAUGCUAAUUAAGUAUAAAUAAUGAUACCCAAUAAUUUAUAACCAGCAGCCAAGUUGGAAUGCAUCUUUUUUAAUUUACAAUACCAGAGACCAAGUACCCAGUUUUAAUAAAUGAUCAUCUUGUUUAGUUUAUUCCACCUCCGCUAGUUGUCUAUCAAAUGAUAAUUAAUCUAUGAUGUGCCAAUCACACUAUUAUUUUUAUUAAACACAAAUUGUUAUCUUACAAUUGAGUGGUGGUUAAGUAAUUUUAGUUAUUAUGAAAUACAUCAUUCAAUAAAUGAGUGAUAUAUAAUAUUAAAAUUCAAGUUGAGAUGCAAAUGGUGAGAUCCUUAACAUUAUUAUUUUAUUUUAUUUUAUUUUAUUUUAUUUUUGGUUAAUGUAUCAUAAUUGUUAUGGCAAUCGUGCUUAUACCAGACUUCUUUGUACUAGAACUAAGCAACCCAAAACACCAGACUCUAUAAAUGCAAGAUUAGAAACCGAAACAAGGAAAUAACACAGAACAAGAAUCAAGAACUCUCAAGAAGCCAGGAAUCUAACGUGGUUCAGCUCCACAAAGGAACCUACAUCCACGGCUGCAAAUGCCAGCAAGGGCAGAGGAUUUAUUUGAUCAAGAAUGGCUGGUUACAAUGAUUUCUUCAGAACUGAUUACAAAAGACUCACAAAGCUAAACUUUUCUCUCUGUAAUGUAGUAGUCGAAAAAACUCUCUGUAAUGUAGCUUCAGAAAACAGCAUAUGUAUAUUGCUUUUCCACACGUGUGUUUCCACUAAUUGACUAACUGCUUAUUCAAUUUUUGGAUCCCACUAACUCCAGCUCAUCAGCCAGCUCAGCAAACUCAUAACAGAUUAUAACUAACUUUCGGCUUCACAAAUCUCCACCUUAGUUUUAAUCUGCUUCUGCUUCUCCCUUCACUGCUACAACAUCAGUAAGCUUGUUUCACAAGCUAACACGCCCAAUCAGACUCAGUAAAUUCCUGAAUCUGACUGAUGGCAAAGGCUUGGUUAACAUGUCAGCUGGAUUUACUUCAGUUGGCACUUUAACCACAUUCACUACUCCUUUGCUGAUUUCAUCCCCUAUGAAAUGCAUUCUGACAUCAAUAUGUUUAGUUCUCUCAUGGUACUUAGGAUUUUUACUUAGCUGAAUGGCACUAGAGCUAUCACAGCUAACUCUAACAAUUUCUUGCUCAAACCCCAAUUCAGUAACCAGCCCCCUUAGCCAUAUUGCUUCUUUAACAGCUUCUGUAAGUGCUAUAUACUCAGCUUCUGUUGUUGAGAGAGCAACCACUGAUUGAAGAGAGGACUUCCAGCUUAUGGCACCUCCACACAUAGUAAACACAAAACCUGUUAUGGACCUCCUUCUAUCUUUGUCUGCUGCAUAGUCUGAGUCCACAAACCCAGCCACUUCAGAUGAUGCUUCACUUGUUUUACCAAACAUGAUGGCAGUGACAGUAGACCCUUAAAGAUAUCUUAGUACCCACUUCACUGCAUUCCAAUGACCCUUCCCUGGAUUCCCCAUAAACCUACUGAUGACUCCAAUUGCAUGAGCUAAGUCAGGUCUGGUGCAUACCAUGGCAUACAUGAUGCUGCCAACUGCACUGGAGUAAGGUAUCUCCCUCAUGUAGUUAAAAUCAUCAUCUGUUGUAGGUUCCAGUGACUUAGAUAACUGGAAGUGAGCUGACAAAGGUGUUGAAACAGGUUUUGAAUCUUCCAUGUUGAACCUGGUUAACACCUUCUUCACAUAAUCAGCUUGUGAUAGAAACAGAACUUUGGAUUUCCUGUCUCUUAUUAUCUGCAUACCCAGAAUUUUGGUAGCUGCACCCAAAUCCUUCAUUUCAAAUUCAGUGUUAAGCUCUACCUUAAGCUUCUUUAUUUCUUCCUUUUGGCUGCAAGCAAUAAGUAUGUCAUCCACAUAAAGAAGCAAAUAGAUGCCUCCACCACUUGAUGAGAGUUUAUAAUACACACAGUUAUCAAAUCUACUUCUGCAGUACCCAUGGCUUAUCAUAAACUCAUCAAACUUCAAAUACCAUUGCCUUGGGGAUUGCUUGAGACCAUACAAGCUCUUCUUCAAUAGGCACACCUUGUCCUCUGACCCUUUCUCAAUGAACCCUUUUGGUUGUGCCAUGAAAAUUUCUUCAUCAAGACUGCCAUGUAAGAAUGUAGUCUUGACAUCCAUCUGCUCCAGCUCCAGGUCAUGAAAUGCAGAGAGGGCCAGCAGCAACCUAAUUGAGCUGUAUUUGACUACAUCACUAUUAUUUUUAUUAAACACAAAUUGUUAUCUUACAAUUGAGUGGUGGUUAAGUAAUUUUAGUUAUUAUGAAAUACAUCAUUCAAUAAAUGAGUGAUAUAUAAUAUUAAAAUUCAAGUUGAGAUGCAAAUGGUGAGAUCCUUAACAUUAUUAUUUUAUUUUAUUUUAUUUUAUUUUAUUUUUGGUUAAUGUAUCAUAAUUGUUAUGGCAAUCGUGCUUAUACCAGACUUCUUUGUACUAGAACUAAGCAACCCAAAACACCAGACUCUAUAAAUGCAAGAUUAGAAACCGAAACAAGGAAAUAACACAGAACAAGAAUCAAGAACUCUCAAGAAGCUAGGAAUCUAACGUGGUUCAGCUCCACAAAGGAACCUACAUCCACGGCUGCAAAUGCCAGCAAGGGCAGAGGAUUUAUUUGAUCAAGAAUGGCUGGUUACAAUGAUUUCUUCAGAACUGAUUACAAAAGACUCACAAAGCUAAACUUUUCUCUCUGUAAUGUAGUAGUCGAAAAAACUCUCUGUAAUGUAGCUUCAGAAAACAGCAUAUGUAUAUUGCUUUUCCACACGUGUGUUUCCACUAAUUGACUAACUGCUUAUUCAAUUUUUGGAUCCCACUAACUCCAGCUCAUCAGCCAGCUCAGCCAACUUAUAACAGAUUAUAACUAACUAUUUGGCUUCACAAUAAUCUCUCUCAGUUAGAAGGCCCAUAUUUUCCUAUUUAUAAAAUUCAUACCUUGUAACCUUUAAAUCUCAAGAAUUCAAAUCUGACAGACAGCUCGGCAUUGAGAUACUGCAAAAGAUACGACCAAUUCAUAUAUCCUAGUCUUAUGUUUUUCUUUAAUAUUGCAUGACAAAUCUAGUUACUUGUACUUUCAACAUUACAUGAUAAAUCGAGCUACUUGUAUUUACAAAUUAAAGAUCAAUUAAAAUCUCCUAAAUUAAUUCUUUAAUUUUGCAAAUUUAGAUAUCAAUGGACUCAAUCUCAACUCUCUUUUCAUAUGUAUGAAUAAGAAAAUAGUUCACUAUUUGAACGUCAUAUAUGAUUCUUGAUUUAAAUUUUAUAUCCUUUUAAAUAUGACAUUGAUUACUAAUGACCGAAUGUGAGGUUGUCGUUGUUGUGCGUGUGUGUGUACAUAUAUAUAUAUAUAUAUUUUUUCUAAUGAAGACAUCCGCACUUUCUUAAAGUGAGAGUGUACAUUAAAAUAUAAAAAAAUAUUGAUUUCAAUAUAUUAGAGAAUUUGAGACCCCUCUCACUGAUAUGAGCUAGUCUCAUGUGCCAAAGCUUGGUUUUAUCUCUGGUCACACUAGCUGAGAUUCCUUGCACAGGUGAGGAACCAACCAGUAUGUACAGCCCAUUCUUUCUAACCCCUUUCAUUACAAUUUUACCCUGAUCAAAGAUCUGUAUCUCUCCAUUUUCUGCCUUAAUGGUACAGCCUGAUUGGUCAACCAUUCCUAGAGAUAUUAAGUUUCUUUUCAGAUCAGGGACAUAUCUCACUUGGUGCAAAUCUCUAGUGACACCAUUAUGCAACUUCAAGCUAAUGGUUCCUAUUCCAACCACCUUGCAAGCUAGGUUAUUUCCUAACAAUACCUUCCCUCCAUUUACACUUUCAAAUAUUAUGACUGAGAACGAGUGUUUGCAGCGAAGAAAGGUUUCCAAGAUAGGAAGGGAUGGUGCCUGUAAGGCCAAGAUCAGGAAUGGUCAAGGAUGUGACUCUAUUGCCAUAGACAUCACAAGUGAUGCCCAUCCAGCUACAAACGGAAGUAUUUGAGGUCCAAUUUUGAGCCAAAAUAUUGUUGGGAUUAUCAUUUAUUAUAUGAGCUUUUACGGAAAGAAGAGCAUCUUGGUCUCUGGAUAUGUUUGCUGCAGCUGCCACAAUAGCUGAGAAAAGAAUCAAACAAGGGACAAAGAGAUAUGGAUCGUUUCUCCCCAUGUUGAUUUUCCAAAGAACAUGCAAAUGCUAAUUAAGUAUAAAUAAUGAUACCCAAUAAUUUAUAACCAGCAGCCAAGUUGGAAUGCAUCUUUUUU
rnacentral:lncRNA from 1 species